GACGAACGCUGGCGGCGUGCUUAACACAUGCAAGUCGAACGGAAAGGCCCUGCUUUUGUGGGGUGCUCGAGUGGCGAACGGGUGAGUAACACGUGAGUAACCUGCCCUUGACUUUGGGAUAACUUCAGGAAACUGGGGCUAAUACCGGAUAGGAGCUCCUGCUGCAUGGUGGGGGUUGGAAAGUUUCGGCGGUUGGGGAUGGACUCGCGGCUUAUCGGCUUGUUGGUGGGGUAGUGGCUUACCAAGGCUUUGACGGGUAGCCGGCCUGAGAGGGUGACCGGCCACAUUGGGACUGAGAUACGGCCCAGACUCCUACGGGAGGCAGCAGUGGGGAAUAUUGCACAAUGGGCGGAAGCCUGAUGCAGCAACGCCGCGGGCGGGAUGACGGCCUUCGGGUUGUAAACCGCUUUCGCCUGUGACGAAGCGUGAGUGACGGUAAUGGGUAAAGAAGCACCGGCUAACUACGUG
rnacentral:rRNA from 1 species